GAAAGCCGUAUGAGGGAAAACCUCACGUACGGUUUGAUGAGGAGGAACUGAAAGUAAAAGAGAUAGCCGAAGGCUAUCCCUUUGAAAUCAGUUUCUUACUCUAC
rnacentral:ncRNA from 1 species